GGUUGAUCUUGGAACUGUCAUGGCGCCUUGUGGGUGUGUUGGUUAGCUUGUUUACCUGUUACAGCGAGCAUACACCUAGGAUCAAGAUCUAGGAGAGUGGAUAUUACAUGGAAAGAUGGACGUUCAGUUUCAUGAUGGGUCACACCCAUUGCAAGAUGACAAGACUGCGAUUGAAGUGGAAGAGGAGAUAAAGGAAGCGUCACUGAAGUUGGGAAAAAAUGAGGAAAAAGCAACCAGGAAGAUCUCACAUGUCUCCGAGGAACUAAACCCGAGUGCUGCAGCCACUGAGCCCGCGCUCUAGAGCCCGGAGGCAGACUGCUGAGUCCAGGGGCCACGACUACCGAAGCCCUCCUGCCCUAGAGCCUGCGCUCG